rnacentral:rRNA from 1 species
GAUGAACGCUGGCGGCGUGCCUAAUACAUGCAAGUCGAGCGAAUAUUUGCGGAGCUUGCUUUUCUGACGUUAGCGGCGGACGGGUGAGUACCACGUGGUUAACCUACCUAUAAGACCGGGAUAAAUUCGGGAAACAGGUGCUAAUACCGGAUAAUAUAUUGAACCACAUGGUUCCAUAGUGAAUGACGGUUUUGCUGUCACUUAUAGAUGGAUCCGCGCCGCAUUAGCUAGUUGGUAAGGUAACGGCUUACCAAGGCAACGAUGCGUAGCCGACCUGAGAGGGUGAUCGGCCACACUGGAACUGAGACACGGUCCAGACUCCUACGGGAGGCAGCAGUAGGGAAUCUUCGGCAAUGGGCGAAAGCCUGACGGAGCAACGCCGCGUGAGUGAUGAAGGUCUUCGGAUCGUAAAACUCUGUUAUUAGGGAAGAACAAAUGUGUAAGUAACUAUGCACGUCUUGACGGUACCUAAUCAGAAAGCCACGGCUAACUACGUG